UGUGAGAAGGUCGUUGUCUGCAAGCCAAGGAGAGAGACCUCAGAAGAAACCAAACCUGCUGACACCGUGACUUUGGGCCACCAGCUUCCAGAACAUUCCCAGGCCAAGGAUCAGAUCUGAACCGAAGUUGCAACCGACACCACCGCUGCUGGACCGGGCCAGGAUUGAACCUGCAUCCUGGCGCUGCAGAGAUGCUGCCGAUCCUGUUGCACCAUGGCGAGAACUCCCCCAUGGAAAGUUUUUUAAGCAAAAAGGAAAUCUUUGGGGUCAGAUGACUGGGGUAGCUUCUAACAACUGCAGAGUGAUUCUAGGCACCAGGGCCUCACCUGCCACGUCCUCGUACCACACUCUCUCGCUGAGGCCCUUGGCCUGGUUUGUGCAGAGAAAACAACCGCUAAGAGAAUGCCAGAGUCUCUUUGCCCCAAAAAAGGACAUCUCCCACCGCAGAUGCUCGCUUUGCAAUGUGACUUUGGCGUUCCUCACGGUGGGAGCCGGGGUCUAUGUUUUCUGCAUUUGAAUCUGGCUGGACCCGUGACUAUAGUAGAACUGGCCCUACAUGACUUCCAAGGCUGGGUCAUGAAGGACGACACACAGUUGCGGCCUGGUUUGCCGGGACAUGGCCUUUGGAGUCCUGAGCUGAGCUGCCCAGGCAGGAGCCCAAGGCUGCCAUGCUGUCCCAUGAAAGUGUUCUGACCUAGAGCCCCAGCUGAAGGCCCAUCGACCAGCCAGCCUCAACCACCUCAUAUGAGUGAAGCUGCCUCCACGGACUCUGGUCCCCUGCUAUUGAGUUCUCCCUGUAGAGGCCCCAGGUAUUGGGGAGCAGGGACACGUCCUCCCCAGUGCGCCCUGUCAGAAUUCCUGCCCUGCAGAAUCUGCGCGCAUGAUAAAAUGGUAGUUUUAGGCUCCGCUUUGAGAUAAUUUGUUCCAUAGCAAUAGUUGGUGGAAUAAAGAAUCUAGGAUUA